rnacentral:lncRNA from 1 species
UAGUUCUCCUUAAAAAAUCUAUUAGUGGAAUCUCAUAUUUUCCUAUGAAUAUAAUCAGAAAAUACAUAGGCUACAUUAUUAUGAAUAAAGAUGAGAUACUUCUAGAAUUUAAUAUGUUGAUGUGACUAUUAAUACAAACCUCUUAACAUAAAUAUUAACAUGUGGUUAUCUUUACUUAUGAGGUAUAGCUUUUUGAUAAUAAUAAUUUCUUAUUAUUUUACAUUCUUGUUUCCAUGUAGAUUUAGAAAGUACAUACUCAGUUUUUUUGGUUUAUUUUGUUACAUUUGAAUUGGAGGCACAAUAAGUCAUUGUUUUUGAAUUUGCCUUACUCCCUACACCCUUCUUUACCUUUAGUAUGGUGAAAUCUGGUACUCUGUUUAGUAGAGGUGCACUUAAGAGAAGUGACGUUUUCAAACAUUCCAUACAUUCACAAUAUAAUAAUUGACUUUUCCUAUUCUUAAUAGUCUUCAAGAUUCUGAAACACCUUUUGAAUAAUUUAAAGACAGAUUAUGUUAGACUGUUGUUAUAAGAAUUUAAUAGUUAAAUGUAUUUUUAUAGAUCCUGUAGAUAUUUGAAUUUACUGACUUGCUGUGGUGUAGAAUUGUUUUCUAGUUAAUCAUACUGUUGAUUUUGUAUAUAGAUUUUACUAUCCCUCUUUUUAUAAACUUUUAAAGAGUUUUCAGGAAAAACUUAUAUUUUAUUAGAAAGAAAGGGACAUUAUAUAAGAAUAUAAGUUAUAUUUUAUUGGAAAUAAUAUACAUUGGCAUGAUGGAGCAAUUAUAGUAGAAUUAAAAAUGUGUGCUCCUUUUUUAAGGUUUAUACAGUAUGAAUAUAACAGCUUAAUGAACCAGUGAUUGCAUAGUCACUUAGAAUAAUGUAUAAUUUUGAUGCAG